GCAACCCCAGGUCAGGCGAGAUUACCGGCGGAGUUUAAGCAUAUCAAUAAGCAGAGGAAAAGAAACUUACAAGGAUUCCCUUAGUAACAGCAAGCGAACAGGGAACAGCCCAGCCUUAGAAUCGGGUGGCUCCAUCGUCCGACUUGUAGUUUGGAGAAGCAUCUUCAGCGGUAGACCGGGCCCAAGUCCCCUGGAGGGAAGUGCCAGAGAGGGUGAGAGACCCAUUAUGCCUGGACCCUGUUGCACCACGAGGCACUGUCUACGAGUCAGUUUUUUGGGAAUGCAGUCCAAAUCAGGUGGUGAAUUCCGUCCAAGGCUAAAUACGAACGACAGACCAAUAGGAAACAAGUACCGCAAGGGAAAGAUGAAAAGGACUUUGAAAAAAGAGUCAAAGAGUGCUUGAAAUUAUUGGGAGGGAAGAGGAUGAGGGUCGGCGAUGCGCCUGGUCGGAUGUGGAAUGGCGACGAGCCGGUCCGCCGAUCGACUCUGGGCGUGGACCAGCAUGGAUUGGGGGGCGGCCAAAGCCCGGGCUUUAGAUAACGCUGUCUCCUCAAUUGUGGCAGGCAGCGCGGGGCUCCAGCGUGCUUCAGCAUCUGUGCGAUACGGAUGCUAGCAUGUUGGCUCCCCAUUCGACCCGUCUUCAAAAACGGACCAAGGAGUUUGACAUGUGUGUGAGUCAACGGGCGAGUAAACCCGUAAGGCGUAAGGAAGAUGAUUGGUGGUAUCCUCCCGAGGGGUGCACCACCGACCGACCUUGAUCUUCUGAGAAGGGUUCGAGUGUGAGCGUACCUAUCGAGACCCGAAAGAUGGUGAACUAUGCCUGAGUGGGGUGAAGCCAGAGGAAACUCUAGUGGAGGCCCGAAGUAAUACUGACGUGCAAAUCGUUCAUCUGACUUGGGUGUAGGGCCUAUGGUUGCUUUAUCGAGCCAUUCCAUGGAAUCAAGAGAUCCAAGUAGGCCAUUUUUGGUAAGCAGAAUAGGCGAUACGGGAUGAACCGGAAGCCGGGUUACGGUGCCAAACUGUGCGAUAACCUAGAUCCCACAAAGGGUGUUGGUCGAUUAAGACAGCAGGACGGUGGUCAUGGAAGUCAAAAUCCGCUAAGGAGUGUGUAACAACUCACCUGCCGAAUCAACUAGCCCCGAAAAUGGAUGGCGCUUAAGCGCGCGACCUACACCCGGCCGUCGGGGCAAGUGCCAGGCCCCGAUGANAGGAGGGCGCGGCGGUCGCUCCAAAACCUUGGGUGCGAGCCCAAGAAAAGCGACCGUCGGUGCAGAUAUUGGUGGCAGUAGCAAAAAUUCAAACAACAACUUUGAAGUUCGAAGAGGGGAAAGGUUCCAUGCGAACGACACUUGCACAUGGAUUAGUCAAUCCUAAGGGUCGGGGGAACCCCGACAGAUAGCGCGUUUCGUGCGUACUCUGAAAGGGAAUCAAGUUAAAAUUCCUGGACCGAGAUGUGGUGGUCGAUGGCAACAUUAGGAAGUCUGAAGAAGUCGGCGGGAGCCUCGGGAAGAGUUAUCUUUUCUAUUUAACAGCCUGCCCACCCUGGAAUCGGCUUAGCCGGAGGUAGGGUCCAGGGCUGGAAGAGCACCGCACGUCGCGUGCUGUCCAGUGCACUACCGGCGGCCCUUGAAAAUCAAGAGGAACGAAUGCCGUCCACGCCUGGUCGUACUCAUAACCACAUUAGGUCUCCAAGGGGAACAACCUCUAGUCGAUGGAACAAUGUAGGAAAGGGAAGUCGACAAAAUGGAUCUGUAACUUCUGGAAAAGGAUUGGCACUGAGGGCUGGGCACGGGGGUCCCAGUCCCGAACCCAUCAGCUAUUGGUGGACUACUCGAGCUGCUCCCGCNCAGCGAGAGCAGGUCGUCGCGUGUCGGUUGGGGGACGGACUGGGAACGGUUCCUUUGGGGCCUUCCCCGCGCGUUGAACAGCCAACUCAGAACUGGUACGGACAAGGGGAAUCCGACUAUUUAAUUAAAACAAAGCAUUGCGAUGGUCCCAACGAAUGUUCACACAUUGUGAUUUCUUUCCAGUGCUCUGAAUGUCAAAGUGAAGAAAUUCAACCAAGCGCGGGUAAACGGCGGGAGUAACUAUGACUCUCUUAAGGUAGCCAAAUUCCUCGUCAUCUAAUUAGUGAUGCGCAUAAAUGCAUUAACGAGAUUCCCACUAUCCCUGUCUACUAUCCAGUGAAACCACAGCCAAGGGAACGGGCUUGGUAGAAUCAGCGGGGAAAGAAUACCCUCUUAAGCUUGACUCUACUCCGACUUUGUGAAAUGACUUAAGAGGUUUAGUAUAAGUGCAAGCCGAAAGGCGAAAGUGAAAUACCACUACUUUUAACGUUAUUUUACUUAUUCCGUGAAUCGUAAGCGAGGCACUGCCCCUCUUUUUGGACCCAAGGCUCGCUCUGCGGGCCAAUCCGGGUAGAAAACAUUGUCAGGUGGAGAGUUUGGCUGGCGUGGCACAUCUAUUAAAAGAUAACACAGGUGUCCUAAGAUGAUCUUAACGAGAAUAGAAAUAUCAUGUGGAACAGAAGGGUGAAAGAUCGUUUGAUUCUGAUUUCCAGUACGAAUACAAACCGUGAAAGGGUGGCCUAACGAUCCUUUAGACCUUCAGAAUUCGAAUCUAGAGGUGUCAGAAAAGUGUUACCACAGGGAUAACUGGCCUGUUGCAGCCAAACGUUCAUAGAGACGUUGCUUUUUCAUCCUUCGAUAUCAGCUCUUCCUAUCAUUGUGAAGCAGAAUUCACCAAGUGUUGGACUAUUCACCCACCAAUAGGGAACGUGAGCUGGGUUUAGACCGUCGUGAGACAGGGUAGUUUUACCCUACUUAUGACAGUGUCGCAGUAGUAAUUCAACCUAGUACGAGAGGAAACGUUGAUUCACACAAUUUGUCAGCGCGUUUAGUUGAAAACCCAGCGGCGCAAAGCUAUCGUGUGCUGGAUUAUGACUGAACGCCUCUAAGUCAGAAUUCGGGCUAGAAGCAACGUAUGUGCCCGCUGUCCGCUUGCUGACCCACAGUAGGGGCCUCAGCCCCCAAGGGCACGUGUCGUUUGCUAAGCCACCGCGGUAGAAGAGUCACGGUAGCCGCCUUGAAGUAUAAUUUCCAUCGAGCGGCGGGUAAAAUCCUUUCCAGAUGACUUAAAUAUGCGAC
rnacentral:rRNA from 1 species